AAAUUGAAGAGUUUGAUCAUGGCUCAGAUUGAACGCUGGCGGCAGGCCUAACACAUGCAAGUCGAACGGUAACAGGAAGCAGCUUGCUGCUUUGCUGACGAGUGGCGGACGGGUGAGUAAUGUCUGGGAAACUGCCUGAUGGAGGGGGAUAACUACUGGAAACGGUGGCUAAUACCGCAUAACGUCGCAAGACCAAAGAGGGGGACCUUCGGGCCUCUUGCCAUCAGAUGUGCCCAGAUGGGAUUAGCUUGUUGGUGAGGUAACGGCUCACCAAGGCGACGAUCCCU
rnacentral:rRNA from 1 species